AGUCCUAAUUCUUCCCCCCAGCAUUUUCGAUGGAUGCCCCCUGGUUCUACUAUUGUGAGAAAGAGAGAAAAAUUUCUCUCCGUCGACAUUUUCUACCCCAUGCAUAAUUUUAUAGACAACGCAAAAAGCAAAGUUAAAAGCCUCAUGAGAUGAUAAUAAGGACUUUUAAUCAGUGCGUAAUGGUAAUUACACCCAGCGCACUUGCCCGCUAUCAGGAGAAAAAUCUGGCCCUCUCUAAAACAAGGCUGCAAUUCAGAAAAGAUCUAGCACUCCAGAGUUUGCUCGUGGGCACGAAUUUUUUUUUGGGGGGGGGGGGUUGGAGCGUGCACAUACCUUCUCCCUUUUGUGGGGUCGAGGGCCGCUAAACAGGGUGCCCGUUUCACAAGACCUUUGCCCAACUCUUACCCCGGCAUCUCCUUGGCUGCUGUCCCGAAGGCUCUCGUAGCUGAACACGUCAGCUAUGAGACAUUUAAUACGUUUCCACAGCAAGGCUGGUGGUUUCCCACUAUGGCUUGCCGGUUACAGUGCGGAAGCAUUGCCAUCUCUGUUGGUGAGAACGAACCCAGAGCUUUGCUUGGGCCAAGCAGAGACGGCCCUCCAGGAAUCCCUCGCAGCCAGCUUGUCCAAGCGAUUGCGUGUCUGUACUUCUCACGAGUAGCCAGGAGGCUUUGAGAGAAGCCCGCGCUGCUUGUCUCUUCUCCAGACUGUGGAAUUGUGUCGGCCUUCACUUCUGCGGUUCUCUUGCGUUGGAAGGACCGAAGCAGACUGACCCUCCGUGUAUUAACUAGAAAGUAAAUCCCAUUGAUCUGUGGGGAAUACUUGCUAGUAAGGACACAAAGGAUGCCAGCAGAAAGCAUUCUGUCGAAUUUGAGGCUUGGAACUGAGGCCUUUCUGUUCGCCACCACGGCUCUAACAGUGUUAUUUGCUAUGCGUAGUUUACAGUUUUAAAAAAACUGUUAUUAAUACCCAAAUUUCGGCUUGGUUCACAUGCAGCCGCCCGCUAUAUUGUGCUGCUCCGGGAAUGGGGGUGGGAAGGCUUGUGUUGUAGUGUUCCCCCCCUCCCCGAUGCUCUCUGCGCAUGGCCAGCAAACACAGGUGGACAUAGCUUGCCCAUGGUGUGCAGACUGGCAAAGGAUGAUGUGUGUUUUCCCUGACAGCGGUUCAAACCUUGCUGGUAGGGAAAGAACAAAGCAUAAUUGGCUGGUUUGGAGGCAGCAGCAAAUUUUUGGUUCUUUCCAACCUAGAAAUUAUUUUACCUCGAGGCUGGGAGGGGGGGGUGAGGAAAUGUGACCCUCAGGAUUCUCUCCCACCCCCCCCACCCCAGCGACUGAGGUUGUCUCUUCUAGGACCCUGGAGCUGCUGGGGCCAGUGACAGAAGGCUGUGUCCAGCUAGUGGAGGGCCCGAGAAUUAUUCUUGGGCAUUCACCAAAUACGGGCCGAAAAGUCACGUGACACACGUGUGCUGCACAGUGGCUUGUGUAUAUUACAAAUAUUUUUUCAGUGUAUAAACACACAUAAAAUGCAAUUGCUAUUACUAAAUCUUUCCUCUCGUUACAAAUAUCUCCAAUGGGAGAACUUCAGUAACACCGAUGCAGUCAAACAACCUCCUUCAAUGUUAUCAGCACAGUUCGCCUCAAUAAAGGCUUAUAACCUCACCUGUUGUCUCUUGUCAUAGAUGUUAUACUUUAAAUCGGUGGCUGAAUAAUUGUCUUUAAAUUCAUGAAUUAUUUUCUUUCAGGUGGAAACACGAUCACCACUUUCAUGAAUGGAUGCAAUAUUCUUAUGAUCGCAUCUCCCUCCGGAGUAAUGUUAAGCAGGCUGGUUAAAGGAGCCAUGCUUCCACAUCGGGCAUGUUAAUAUUACAGAAGGUACACCGAUGAUCUUUUGUUCAUCAUGCGACCUAAUUUCAACUUUAGUUCCUUUCUAUCAUGGUUAAAAAGUCUACAUGCCUCAAUUAAAUUUACUGGAGAACAAAAUCAGAAGGCAAUAAAUUUUUUGGGCACAUGGAUAAUGCUGGAUGACAAUCAAAAUCACCGAUUUGAAGUAUAACAUCUAUGACAAGGGACAACAGAUGAGGUUAUAAGCCUUUAUUGAGGCAAACUGUGUUGAUAACAUUGGAGGAGGUUGUUUGACUGCAUCGGUGUUACUGAAGUUCUCCCAUUGGAGAUAUUUGUAACGAGAGUAAAGAUUUAGUAAUAGCAAUUGCAUUUUAUGUAUGUUUAUACACUGAAAAAAAUAUUUGUAAUAUACACAAGCCACUGUGCAGCA